CCUGGCUCAGAUUGAACGCUGGCGGCAUGCCUUACACAUGCAAGUCGAACGGUAACAGGCCGCAAGGUGCUGACGAGUGGCGAACGGGUGAGUAAUACAUCGGAACGUGCCCGAUCGUGGGGGAUAACGCAGCGAAAGCUGUGCUAAUACCGCAUACGAUCUACGGAUGAAAGCGGGGGAUCGCAAGACCUCGCGCGGACGGAGCGGCCGAUGGCAGAUUAGGUAGUUGGUGGGGUAAAGGCCUACCAAGCCGACGAUCUGUAGCUGGUCUGAGAGGACGACCAGCCACACUGGGACUGAGACACGGCCCAGACUCCUACGGGAGGCAGCAGUGGGGAAUUUUGGACAAUGGGCGCAAGCCUGAUCCAGCCAUGCCGCGUGCAGGAUGAAGGCCUUCGGGUUGUAAACUGCUUUUGUACGGAACGAAAAAAGGUUNCUUUUAAACCNGGAAACUGAUGACGGUACCGUAAGAAUAAGCACCGGCUAACUACGUGCCAGCAGCCGCGGUAAUACGUAGGGUGCGAGCGUUAAUCGGAAUUACUGGGCGUAAAGCGUGCGCAGGCGGUGAUGUAAGACAGAGGUGAAAUCCCCGGGCUCAACCUGGGAACUGCCUUUGUGACUGCAUCGCUGGAGUGCGGCAGAGGGGGAUGGAAUUCCGCGUGUAGCAGUGAAAUGCGUAGAUAUGCGGAGGAACACCGAUGGCGAAGGCAAUCCC
rnacentral:rRNA from 1 species